rnacentral:rRNA from 1 species
AACGAACGCUGGCGGCAGGCUUAACACAUGCAAGUCGAACGCAUCCUUCGGGAUGAGUGGCAGACGGGUGAGUAACGCGUGGGAACGUGCCCUUCAGUUCGGAAUAACCCAGGGAAACGUUGGGCUAAUACCGGAUACGUGCGAGAGCAGAAAGAUUUAUCGCUGAAGGAUCGGCCCGCGUCUGAUUAGCUAGUUGGUGGGAUGGCCCACCAAGGCGACGAUCAGUAGCUGGUCUGAGAGGAUGAUCAGCCACAUUGGGACUGAGACACGGCCCAAACUCCUACGGGAGGCGAGCGAGUGGGAAGUAUUGGACAAUGGGCGCGAAGCCUGAUCCAGCCAU